rnacentral:lncRNA from 1 species
GAGUGUCAUUCCGAGACUCAUCUUCUUCGUAGAAAGAGAUGUAUUUUCUAGCCUCUAUUCUUGGUACGCCUUUGUGAAAGGGCCGGAUCAAAGCAUUCCUAAUAUGGUCUGCUAGACGUGGGCUUGAUUGCAUAGCCGAAGACUCCAGGUUUGCCUUUGUGAAAACAAGGGCUUCAUCCAGUACCUGUUCUCCAUGCACACUUAAAAAUGAAGCUUCAUACAAGCCCAGGAUGCCUUUGACAUCGUUGAUGAUUGUUUUCUUAAGCUCUCCAUUGGUGUCCUUGAACUUGUCGAACACAACUGAUUUAUAAAAGCAUACUACACAUUUUAGCCAUUUUCAAAAGAUGUUUGUGGAUUAUGAGAGAUUAGGAUCGUAAAGAAUUGAUAUAAUAUAAAGUGAAAGGAUAGAAUUAGAAUUCUCAUACCCUAAAAUUACAAUCCCAAACUUAUAAAAGUUAAGAAAAAUUUGAUAUACCUCAAUGGUCUUUUAAUUCAUAAUUUUAAUGAAAAAAAUAAAACAUCAACUAUUGAUAUAUAGGUAAAUACCUACUUAAAAAACAAUAAAAACACUAAGUAAGAAAAAUAAUUAAAAUCUAAAAUUAACUAUGAAAAUAAUUAAAAUUAUAUAUUGAAUAUAUAAACCAUGCCUUUUAGUGUUCCUUACUAGAUUUUUAAUACCUGCGCUUCACAUACAGCAGGUAAUCUUUGGAGACGUUGAUAUGAGUUUUUUAUUGUUCACAACAAAGCCUUUCCUAUCACUACAGUUCUCUUUCCCGCACCCCUAUAUUUCUUGGAGUUGUUCUUAAUUUGUUGUCACUCCAAAAAUAUUAGGUUGUUGAAUGUAACUGUGUGAUAAAGGUUUGUUUAUCUGGAAGGAAAGUUUUGGUUUUUGGAAGAGAGUGUUCCCCCCAUCUUUCGUUUUUCUUUAAUAAGGAAGAACUUUUUAUCUAAAACUUUUUUUUAUUUUUAUUUUUAUUUUUAAGCUCAUUCCAUUUUAUAAACCUCAAAAGAUAGAUUACAAAGAGAUGGAGAGCGAUAAAACCAACAAUCCUAUAUGAAACAAAUACAUAAGUAAUAUAAAAAUAAUAUAUAAAAUUUAGAAUAAAUAACUCACAACAAGAUUUAACUUUUUUUUAAAAAAUAGAAUUCAAACUCAACUUUUAAAUUCAGUAUAUACAUACAUACAUACAUACAUAUAUGAAGAAAAAAAAACACACAUCUAGUACAACAAUCACACACACUUAUAGUCUAUCUUAGAAAUUAUAAUGUUCACGAGUCACCGGCUCGUUUUAUUACAAUACAUUCGGCAACAUUCAUAGAGAGUUCCAGCAUGAGCUCAAGGUAAGAAUUCUACCCCAUUAUUCGCACAUAGGCACUUGCUCAACAUAUAAUAAAGUGACAUAAUCUUUUAAACUUAAUGGGAUUGUGUAGGCGUCGUCAUCAUCCCCAUAUACAACAUCAGUAACUCGAACAAGGUUAACAAUAUGUUGAAGAAGAAGCAUUGGAGCCUUAGUUGGCCUCAUGCAAUCUUCAUUGAUGUCCUUCCAUCCAUUUGCGACCAUCUUUUGUAUCUCUUCAAUUGCUUUUUUUUCUGAGACAUCAUAUUGUUUCAUGAAGCAUUCAACACCGGAUGCACAGUCUCCCCUCUUUUGUUCAUCCUUCAAACAAAUAUAGGAUGUUAUAUAAUGGUUAAAAAAGAAACUUAGCAUGACAAAUUCCAAACACAAAAAAAAAAAAAAAGACAGGAAUAGUCAUGAGUAGAGCCCUGGUUCAAUUUUGCUGAUGCAAAAAAAUAAUUGAAAAAUCAAGGAGAAACUAUUUAGUAUAUCAUAAGCUGAACUGGUUUACUUGAAGAUAGAAUUUGUGAAUACUUUUCAAUAUAAGUUCUACUAGAUUGGUGGCUUGCGCUAAGAUAUGGAUCAUAUUAAAAUUUUGAUAACAUACAAAAAAUAAUAUUUUGGUAUUGCUAAUGUUUUUUUAGUAAUUUUUUAAAAAUAAUGUACAUAAGUUUAUCUAAUGUGACAUGAUUAAUUUAAUGGGUUCAAAGACAACCCAGACAACUAGUAAAAAUAUAGUUUGACUCAAUAAAAUAUAAGAUAAUAAUUUUUUUAAAAAUUAGAAUAAUAACAUAUUGGAUCGAUCUUGACUAAUCUAGAUUAAAUUAUCAAAUUCACGACUCAGAUUAUAAAACUAUGAUAACCCUUGUAUAAAAUGAAUCAAAAUAAAUUAAAGAUAAUGUAAAUUAUUUAAAUGGUAAAUGAGAAAUUAAUUAUCACUAUAUCUAAUAAUUUAUUUAUUUUUUUGGGAUUUAAAAAUCAUACCUCAUGGCUCACUAUGUCAUUCAUUAAACGACAGAUCAUCUUUCCAGCUUUCAUAAUAUUUGGAUUACUUUUUAGCCAUUUAUACUCCUCCUGUCCGGCAACUUCAUCCAUUUCAACGAAGGAUGCUGCCAUAAUUACCCCAUAAGCACUUGUGGCUAAUCCAUUGCGCCUUCAUCUGCCCACUGCGCCUCCACUCGGUAGGCUCUCGCCAAUUCUUUGAACUAAUAGCAUACAAAUUAAAAGGAAUGUAUUAUGCUAGAAAUAGAAAAAGAAUGCAUGAGCCUGGAGAAAUAUUCUUACUGCCUCCUUCACGUAAUACAAGGCAUAGGAUCGUCCUUGCUUUCCCAUAUCACUCUCAGUUUCACUGAAAAGAUUCAGAAGAGCUCUGUAAAGAACUUUCAAGUACUCGGCAGGUAGUUGAUCGAUGGCAUCCAUGCAGCAUCUGAAAUUGAGACAGAAAAUCACGUAUCAUUUCUUGAACAUCUUUGUACGAUUUAGAAGAGAGAGGCUAUGAGGUAACUUAAAAAUCACAGUGGAUGUCCAUAUCCAGUGAACCCAACUGGGUUUGUGUAUCCCAACUAUGAACGCAUCUCAUCUCUCCCUCUGCUCAUCCUCCGUUCCUCUCUGGUUUUCACCCCUUCUUUCUUUGUGUUUUUGUUCUUCGUAAAAGGUAACCCGGUCUCCCCUCUUCCAUUCAUUCCACACACCCUUCAUGUGUUCGACUAAAUGACCAUUAGAGAAUCAAAACUUUUCUUUUUUUAUUUCUUCCUACCUGCCAACGUCCUACCCACAAACCGCUCAAACCUCUACCACCUUCUGUUAUUAUCCUGUAAUCUUAGACAUCACAACCUUUACAAAGGUUUAGAACCAUCUUUAAACUUCCAGCUCUUCUUCAUCUUCUUAUUUUUAAAGCCUACUAUCUAAAGCUCCUGACACCUUAACCUCUAGCAUUCAAAAGAACCACAAAUGGCUCUCUAAUCCUUUCCAAUACCAUCACACAACGACUCAUAACCCACAAAUGGCUCUCAUAUUCGACUUUUACUUUGAACGAUUACAUAGCUGGCCUAUAGAGAUUUGAAGAAGGAAUUUCAGAAACAUGGACAAGUAAUUGCCCUUUUUCUCUCCAGAAGAAAAACCGCAGAUUGGAGUAAUUAGUACCUACAACUAUUAUUGUAUCAUUUCUUUGUUUUGCUGGAUUUCCAUAGCCAUUAUUGUAUCCUUUCUUUGUUUUGCUGGAUUUCCAUCCACUAGAUGGCCAGCUUAAUAUAAUUCUUCGAUAUUCAUAUAAAAAGAAGAAGAAGAAAGGUUAUGAGGUAACAAGAAACAAACCUUUCAAUUGCAUUAGUAAAAUGUUGUAUUUCUUCGAAAGAUGCAUAUGCAUCACAUGUAUCAUCUAACAGUGAUACAAUUUUUGUAUAUUUCGUGACCACCAUCCGCGAGAAAGCAUAUUGAGGCUCGAAAUGGACUCCAUUUGCCCAGAAAUAGACCUCUACAAUUCUAUCUCUUGCAUAUGGAAACUCCACAGAAAAAUUUAAAUCAUUCCACCACCUAAAAUGUAAAUAGCAACUCAGUAAAGAAAUUCCGAUAGAAACUUAGUUUGACAUUUCUCUCUAACUUAAACAACAAAUUACCUCGAGAGAAUGGAUAGCUCUUGUUGAUGUAUUAACUGAACUCGAUUGAAAUCUAUCUUGGCAAACUUGAGUAGAGUGUCAUUCCGAGACUCAUCUUCUUCGUAGAAAGAGAUGUAUUUUCUAGCCUCUAUUCUUGGUACGCCUUUGUGAAAGGGCCGGAUCAAAGCGUUCCUAAUAUGGUCUGCUAGACGUGGGCUUGAUUGCAUAGCCAAAGACUCCAGGUUUGCCUUUGUGAAAACAAGGGCUUCAUCCAGUACCUGUUCUCCAUGCACACUUAAAAAUGAAGCUUCAUACAAGCCCAGGAUGCCUUUAACAUCGUUGAUGAUUGUUUCCUUAAACUCUCCUUUGGUGUCCUUGAACUUGUCGAAC